GUCCUACGGGGGCAGCAGUAGGGAAUCUUCCACAAUGGACGAAAGUCUGAUGGAGCAACGCCGCGUGAGUGAAGAAGGGUUUCGGCUCGUAAAGCUCUGUUGGUAGUGAAGAAAGAUAGAGGUAGUAACUGGCCUUUAUUUGACGGUAAUUACUUAGAAAGUCACGGCUAACUACGUGCCAGCAGCCGCGGUUAUUCGUAAGUGGCAAGCGUUGUCCGGAUUUAUUGGGCGUAAAGAGCGUGCAGGCGG
rnacentral:rRNA from 1 species